rnacentral:rRNA from 1 species
CCGCCGGCGACCGGCGCACGGGUGAGUAACACGUAUGCAACCUGGCCGUGACAGAUGGAUAACCGGGAGAAAUCCCGCCUAAUACAGCAUGACGCCGGGAAGGGACAUCCCUUUCCGGCCAAAGGGGGCGACUCCGGUCACGGAUGGGCAUGCGGCGCAUUAGGUAGUUGGUGGGGCAACGGCCCACCAAGCCGACGAUGCGUAGGGGUUCUGAGAGGAAGGUCCCCCACAUUGGAACUGAGACACGGUCCAAACUCCUACGGGAGGCAGCAG